rnacentral:rRNA from 1 species
UACGAAGGGGGCUAGCGUUGCUCGGAAUCACUGGGCGUAAAGGGUGCGUAGGCGGGUCUUAAGUCAGGGGUGAAAUCCUGGAGCUCAACUCCAGAACUGCCUUUGAUACUGAGGAUCUUGAGUCCGGGAGAGGUGAGUGGAACUGCGAGUGUAGAGGUGAAAUUCGUAGAUAUUCGGAAGAACACCAGUGGCGAAGGCGGCUCACUGGUCCGGUACUGACGCUGAGGUGCGAAAGCGUGGGGAGCAAACAGGG